CAGUAGCCGCGGUAACACGGAGGGAGCUAGCGUUGUUCGGAAUUACUGGGCGUAAAGCGCGCGUAGGCGGUUACUCAAGUCAGAGGUGAAAGCCCGGGGCUCAACCCCGGAACUGCCUUUGAAACUAGGUGACUAGAAUCUUGGAGAGGUCAGUGGAAUUCCGAGUGUAGAGGUGAAAUUCGUAGAUAUUCGGAAGAACACCAGUGGCGAAGGCGACUGACUGGACAAGUAUUGACGCUGAGGUGCGAAAGCGUGGGGAGCAAACAGGAUUAGAUACCCCCGUAGUCCCUGUCUCUUAUAC
rnacentral:rRNA from 1 species